rnacentral:lncRNA from 1 species
AGGGCAAAUCACUUGUUAACGACGAUACCUUUCCUCACAGAACGUAUAAUUUACUCAUUACUUUCGUAAAUCACUGUUAUUUCGCGUAAUUACCUCGUCGAAUUUCAGACAUUUCGUUUUGGAAACAAGAAGGGUUCAUGAAACUUGAAAAUGUAUGUACAUUUAGUACGCAUGCGUGGUGAAACUAACCCUUUUUUUAAAAACACGAUUUCCACUUUUGGAGUAUCUGGUAAUGUGAUGCUUACAUCGAAUGUGUCAUAUCCGACACGUGUUUAUUGAUUAUUCAUUAAUUGCGUAAAUUCUAGCGAAUUUAGCAUUUUUGAAGCACAGAAAUGUUUUCAAAUAAUUAACGAAAUCGCAUUAUACGCAAUAGAAGACGUUUCGUAAUAGAAGCAAUAAAUAUAAAA